GAGAGGGAGGGAGGGAGGGAGGGAGAGAGAGAAAGAGAAAACCGCUAGACCGGUGGCCCCCUAUCUAACUAGUCCAUCGUUUUCGAACGAACCGUUCGCUAGAUUCUACGCAAGAUCGCGUUUCUCCCCUCUUCUCUUCAUCCAUUGCACGAACAAGGCUACACUGGCUGUCUAGUAGCUAUGCCAUUGACCAUGGACGUCAUUGGCUGCGGCUGUCCAAGCGCGAGUGCCGUGUAACUUGUACUUCCGGUACCGAGUCACAGAGACGAGCCGCUCCCACGGUCAAGGUCAACUCGGAGGCUCGAGGGGACGAUAAUUGCUCCCUCCGACAUAUCUCGCUUCUUCCUUUCUCUUUAGGUUAUCGCCCUGUUUAUAGUUUUGUAUAUCGGUAUGUUUAAGAUUAUAAAAGAAUGAUUUGCCACCGUGACUAUCGAUUCUUUCUGUACCUUUGGAGUCUUACGAUUAUACUGCAGUUUCCUCCGUGUAGCUUGUUGUGUGAGAAAUAAAGUAAAAUUUAAAUUGAUAUUUAUCGCAAUUAAUUUUGUUAUUUGAAACAAAUAAGAAAUCAGCCGUAGAAAAUGAUGAUUGAUUAAGCGAUUAAAAAAUGUUAAAUGACUAAUUGAUUUCGUCUAGACAAAGCGCGAAUAAAAUCUUUUGCUAAAAUUGAAUCUCACAUAAGACAAGACUCGACUACUUGCUUUUCUCAAAGCGAAUCUACGAACAACAUCGAGUUGGCCUCGAAGACGUCUGCGUGCUCGAAAGCGCGAUCAAUCUACGAUCAGAAUAAAAACGUUAGAAACGCGGGAAGGAGUUGAAAACUGGAAGUAGAGCUAAAAAUAGAUGGACGGAAAUAGCGAUUAAAUAUAGCGAAGAGAAGUCGGAAAUGGAAGCAAAAGAAGACCGAAAACGAGUAUACGGACGAGAAUGAGUACGAGGAUGAGGACGAGGAUGAGGACGAAGAUGAGGACGAGGAGGAGGACGAAAAGAAGGAAGAUACGAGAGGAUGAGAAACGUAGUCGUUCGAGCUGGCUCAUCGUGGCAACUUAUCACAUCGUUGCUCUCUUAGCUUUUAUUCGCAAAAUACUUCGCAACAGGAUCGCCUCGUUCGUUUUAUUUUCCAUCUGUCGCACGCUAUGGGAUCGUAUAGCCAGAAGAUGAAUCGUACGAAGUUAGACAUCGGACGAGCCGUUCCGACGGCGCGCCAAGCGAAUAUCCAUCCCACUUUUCACCCCCUCUUUACUUUCGUUAUGCAUGCCCUCUCUAAGAAACAGAGGGAGAGGAAGAGGAAGAGAGGAGAACUCCGAAGAGAGAUGGAUACGUGGCCCUUCGAGAAGGCGAUACUCUACGUAAUUUUGAAAUUUAAUCCUACCGCCUCUAGCACCCGACUCGAAACGGAUUGAAUGCGUAACAACGUCGAUUCUAAUGUCGAAGCACAAUGGGAAAAUUGUUUUUCGCCUUUAUGGACAUUUUAUUAAACCGGUAAGUAUAUCACGUAUGAAUAUUUUUCUAAUUUUAAAAAGUGAUAAAUAAACAAUUUCUUAUUUUUAAAACAUAAGGUUAAGAUGUUCGAAUCAGUCUUUUUCAUGCAAAACGCGGAACUACUGAUGUUAAUAACCUUUGAAUAUUUUUUCCUUACAAGCGUAUUGUCCUUGUAUUCUUUUUCUUUCUUUUUCUCUUACGUGGGAAGAAUCAUUCAGGAAGAGGAAUCUUCGUCGUUGUAAUUAGGUAAUUAUCAGACCGUGGGUUCCUCGAGAAUUUGAUAAUUUCCAUUCGUUCGUUCAACGGUGCCUAUCUUUACCGUUUUUCGUACGUUGAAUCGACUCCAAUUCCACUGUAUGGAAUCAAGCGAGUAGCGGCGAGAAGAGACGAUUGCACGAUAAGUUAAGAGUCUGCGAGAGAAUACAAUGGAUAAUUUAGUACGAAACCUUUGAAUCUUUUUGACAUCAUUACAAUUCUUUCGUUUCAUUUCGGACAGGUAUGGACUUCCACGAAUUGAAUCCAUAAACGGUAAAUACAACGAUGUACCAACGUUAUUGACAAUAUUAUAAGAAUAUUAUAAAAAUUCUUGUUUUCUUUUUUGUAAUAUUUCUCUUUUUCUUUCUCUCCCCUUUUUCUUGCGAUGUUAUCUCACGAAGGAGGUUGUGAUAGGAGAAGGUUCGCAAUUAAAGUUAAUGCUAGUCGCUUGUGACUUGGAUGAAAAACCAAAAACCAAUUGCGUACGAGCUUAUAUAUUCUCUUGAACGAUCUGGUCGUCGGCGACUGGUGUCGACCAUGCGCAAUGGGCCUUGGCGUCGAUAUUUCGACGACGAGAACGUGGUAAAGUACCUACAACCACUUAUCGUCACAACGCUUUCUAUCGCAGUGCUCAAUACAGAUUUCAAGGAAGAAGCGAAGCGACACAUUAUCGAGGCUUCUUAUCGAAUGCUCGCAGAAGAGAAAAGAAAAAGAAGAGCGAACUUUUCCUUUUGCUGAGCACACGGUAGCAGAGGAGACAUUCUAGUGAGCUUAAUGCACUGUACUCGGAUACGUGAGAAGCAAAUAAAAUGGAAAGAGCGAGGAAGAGGACAAACGAGCGAAAGAGGGGACGUAAUUUUUAAUUUUAUCGACAUUUAGGCCGACGUACACGCGCCCUUCACGAACAUAAUGGAAAGAAGAGAGAAAAAAGACAGGGACACUUUAUCGUAUGUCCUCUGAUCUUUGAAAAUUAACUUAUGGUUUAUUACAUUUUUUUACGUUAGUCGAGCACCUUUCAUCUUCCUGGGAUUUCGUGUAACUUGGAAACAAAUUUCUUUCUCUGGUUCUGUCUGUCAUCCUCAUUCAAUAGUAAAGUCAGACGUAGGAAAGAAUCCUGACGUACAGGAAGAGCGUCGAAUGAAGAGAAAAACGUGAGGACUUGAGAGAAAAGACAAGAAGGAUGGAAAAGACUGCGAAAAAUCAUAGGAAAAAGAGAGAGGGUUGAAGAGAAUCCUGUUGGAUUAUUAAUGAAAUUGCUUCUCGAAUCAGGCGUUACACCGUUUUAACGGAAAUGACGUCCGCAACAGCCACUCGACACCUUUUUACGCUAUUUCAUCGGCAUCGCUCGAUUGACGGAGUCGUAACGUGCAAUUUAAUAUUUCACCAAGUCCUCGCGAAAGGAUCGUAAUUUCAAUGGGAUCGCAACGAAUAACUCGAAAAAGUUUGACAAGGCUUUCUUUUACUUCACCGAGGCUCCCUCGCUAUGCUUUAUCUAAAAAGAGGAGAAAUAAAGUUGGAGGAAGAGAAGUUGUCGGCAAUAAGUGCAAAACAAGGAAACAACUCUACGGCUUAUAAUAGUCCAAGACAAAGUCAAGAUUUUACUGUCCAAGCACAAGCUUAAUGCUUGUUUUUAUUACUUAUUCUUUUUUACAUUAACGGAUUGAUAAUUAUAGGCAUUUGUACAUCGGUGCUAUACGAAACGUCUUCAACGUUGUGAAAUUCGCGAUGUAAUUACUGUGAAGAAUUUUAUUUCAAUCGGUUUCUUACGAAUAAUGCCAAUAUCAUCUUUAUGCGCAACGAUUUCUUUGAUAUCGUGAAAAGUAUUCGAUGAUUUGUCAUUAAAAAAAAAAAGUCAUUUAGAAAAAAAGAAUCGUUGUACUAUUCGUACUAGAAACCGAUUUGAACUUCUCCUUACGAUCGUCGUUUUUUUUUAUAAUUCUAUAUAAGUAUAUACCAAUAUAUGUACGAGUUACAGUCGAUUUUCGCUUAAUUAUAUUCGAGACAGGAUGAAAACCUUCUAGCGAGCGCUAACAAUAAUAUUGGGAAAUGUAUUAUUGUAUGGUUAGAGAUUAUGUGAACAACAAAGAAAUAUGUAAAAGGAAAAGGAGAAGGAGAAGUAAAAAUAUCUCAUAUCGUAAAUUUAUAUACGCAUACGUACAUGCAUAGACAUAUAUGCGCGCGUGCGCAUGAGGUAUAAUUAUAUCGAGAGAAAUGUUACAUUCUCGGAUCAACUGUGUCAUAUGUACCUAUAAAGAUCAUUUACAUAAUAUCUUCAUUAUUUCACAUAAUUCAAAGAAUUCAAAUUGUGAAGAACUUGCAUUGUUGCGAAUUGUAGCCUUGUCUUAAAUUAUUCCUUAAAGCAGCUAUGGUAAAUCUGUGAUUCGCAAGAGAAGUUUAAGUGACCCGUAAAUUUUCGAAAAGUUUAACUAAAGGUUACUAAUUUAUUAAGAAAUUAAGAUUUUGAAUCUUUGAAAACACAAUAAAAGAUCUUAAAAUUAUUUAACAUUAGUAUAAUUUUGUUAUUUAUUUGUAUUUAACUUUUAAUAGAAUUUUAAAAUUCUGAUAUAAAAAGAUUAUCAUCUCAGGAAGAACAGUUACUUUUACAAUAGUUUUAAAUAAAAUUACGCUAUUAAUUUGGUUCUUUGUUCGUUUGUUACUACAGAUUGAUUAAAAGAUUAAACGUAGAAUUUGUUUUUAAUUUUUAAAUUAAAUUGAGUUCAAAUAUUGGAUCCAUGACUGGUAAACAUUUUUUGAGUUUGAUCUACUGCCAAAAAAGAUUCGUCAUGAUUGCCUUAAAAUAUAAUAUAUUUUAAAAAUCCUAUUCAAUUUCUUGUUUUCAAUUUUUUCGUUUUCAAUCAUCCUUUACGUAUCAAAGUAUAGUUUGUUUUUUGUUCAUAUUUUUUUUCGUAUUUGAAAUUACUAAUUCAUACGUAAAUUAUUACGCAUUCGAAUCAUUGAAGCUUUACAUUUUCACACAAAAGCAGUAACGAAAUUAUAUAAUCGCGUAGACGUAUACUUGUCAAGGAGCUCACGAUAGUCUAAGACAAUGAUAGGAAUUCGAUUCACGAACGUAUUACCAAGCCGUAUUAUCGACGUUACGCUUUUCCGUUUUGUAACUUGCCGGAUUUCUCUCUCUUUCUCUCUCUCUCUCCCUCCCCCCUCUCUCUCUUUCUCUCUUUUUCUCUUUCUCUUUUAGAUUCACCUCGUUCGGAAAGGACGAGUUCCUUUUCAAAGGUGUUCCACGCUCGACGACCAUGACCGUUCACACCCAAGGAGAGGAUCGUUCUUCUCACGUUUAGUCAUCCUCCAGCGGACGAAAAAAAAGGAAAGAAGAGAAGGUGGAAGAGGAGAGGAAGGAAGAAAAAAGGAAAGAAAAAAGAGAGAGGAAGAUAGCAAUCGCACUUGUGCGUUGACACUAGGCAACGAAUCAUAAGUGAGAACUCGCCGGUCGAAAAAGCCAUUCGUAUUAGAUGGACCACUGACUGAGAUAUACCUACAGAUCCUCGUAGAUAGUAGCCGAUGGAGAGCCGACGAUGGAUCACGAUCUAAGAAUUUAUACGCAUUAUGGAACGCUGUUACAAAGCUGAAUGGUCAUUAAUUCUCUCGAUUUGCUUGUUGCUAUUUUUCUUUUAUCCUUUACUUGACAACAUUAUCAUUCACGCGAACUUCCUUGAAUUUUUCAAUUCGCGAAGCUGACGUUUCGUCAAGUAAAACGGUUUUUCACGCUCAAGUUUGCUUUCCAAGAAAUAAACGUAAACACUAAUAAAUCAGAACAUCCGUGUCUAUCAUAGUAGGUCCUUGACUUUGUCCGUGGCAGAUAAUGUCUUCGCUGUCUUUCCCUUUGUCGUCGACCAGGACGAUGAAACUGCCUCGCACUAGGAGGAAACACAAAGCAAGAGAGGGACGACAUCCGGUCCCGGAGCGCUUGUGUGUCGUUCAACUCCGAUUAUCUCACAGGAAAGCGAACGAUCUCUCGGAUAUCUCUCUAAUAUUUUCUCGCGUGAAUUCUCUCUUGGAAUGACAAUAACAGCUAAUUAACAACUUUAUCGUAACAAAUCAUAGGUAAAAAAAUAGUUAGAUUUUGCUAUUUUUUCUAAUUAUAUAUUUUUCUAGUUAUAUUUUUCUAAACGCAAUGCAGACAUACUAAGUUUUGUUUAAGACACUCAUAUUUUAUUUUGCCUUGAUGUAUCAUAGUAAAUAAUGAUGCUUUAUACAAUAAGAUUCUUGAUUCUUACAUUAAUUUCAAACGUGCCCAGGAAUGUUAUAACUUUUUCCUUACGGUCCGACUUCUUAGAAACACCGGUCACAUCCGUUCUUGUCAUAGCUAACUAGAAAGACCAAAAUAAAAUUCAAUUUUGUUUUAAAUGAUCUAGACACACCCUGUAUAUAAUUUCUUUAAACAUCGAUAGUUUAAUUCGCCGAGUUCCUAAAAAACCUGUUUUCAAAAUAUCUGAAAAAAUAAAAAUCUUGACUAGGGAGUAUUACUUAUCCGUAGUAUUACGACAACUCAUUUUUAUCCUAUUUAUCGAUAAAAAUAAUCGCGUGCGUAUUCCUCUUUACAAAUUUAAGAUACAUUAUAUUUUUUUCUUUUUAUAUGCUUGCUUUGAAUUGUAUAUCCUUCAGAAGGUUUUCAUUCGAGAGAAGAUUGAAAUGUGACGUUUUAUCUGGAUACACAAAGCUAUUGUUUCGGUCGGCCAGAAUUUUUCUCUUUUCUCAAGAAACAAACAACUUUGAUCUGAGAUAUAUCUAUUCUUAACAUAAAUCGUAUUUUCUGGUAUGUUUUACGAGGCUAUUUUCAUGAUUAAAUAACUAUAAUUUUUUUUUUCAUUUUCCAUUGAGUGCAAAUGAAAGUGACAAAAGCCUUCAUGAUUUUAACGAUCAUGGAAAUAUUUGCCGAGGAAAAGGACAAAUAUUCGUUCGAGUUUUGUUCGUGAAAUGAAGGGAGAAGAGCAGAGCUGAAUGAUUCGUGCGAUUGCAGGCCAAAGGAAAAAAUGACGAUCAAUGAAAAUGUGAGUCUCGAAGGAAAGGUAGGAAAGACGUAGAUAUAGAAAGGCGUAGGAGAUUCUCGACGGAUGAGGAGUAGAAAAAAGGAAAGGAAGAAGAUGAGUCUGGGGUAUCAUCGUCUAUAAAUACUCGUAUGGCCUCGGGCAAGGACGUCGUUAUUCACGGAGGAUGAUCCUCUACCUGCUUCAAUCUUCUGCCACGACAACUACGAUAAGAAUGAAGACGACGACACGAGUUCUUCUCGAUAAAAAAGGAUAGGAAAUCCUAAAGCGUAUUUUCGAAAGACGCGCGUUAAUCAUCAAUUACUCUGCCGAAGAAGUUCGAUCGAACAUUACGAAGUUAUGUUGGAACAUUGGCGUGGAAUUUUGAAGGAAAUUUGUUUCACUUUUUUAGAUUGUUCUCAAUAAUUCAUAGGCGCGUUAUUGGUAUUUUUAAUAUAUUCAUAUAAUGGAAUUUUUAAUUAAAUGAAAAAUAAAUGAUAAAUAUUCAUUUUAUAUGUGAGCGAUGUUCAUCGACGAACUUUGUAGGUAAAGAAGUGCAUGUACGGAUCUAGGCACAUGACUUAAAUAUAACAAGCUUUUGAUAUAUCAUGGAUCGUCCGCUAUGAGACGACAGCGAUGUGGCGUACGUUGUUCUUGUUGAAAAUCCGCCCAUUACUUCGCAACGGAUCGAUCUCUCUUGCGCUGGAACGUAACCUCGGUUAAUUAGCCUUUGUUGUGCAAUGUUUGAACGUAUGCAGUAAUCAGAUUAUGUUGUAAUUUGAUCUAAUUAAACUUAUUUUCGAAAUGUUGCCCAGUUAUUGCGGAGAAGGCUAAUGAUGCCAAUAUCGAGCACAGAACAACGACCGUUUCUCAUCAUUUUCUUCGAAUUGUAAAAAUUGUA